rnacentral:misc_RNA from 1 species
AACUUUUGGCAAUGGAUCUCGUGGCUCUCGCAUCGAUGAAGAACGCAGCGAAAUGCGAUAAGUAGUGUGAAUUGCAGAAUUCAGUGAAUCAUCGAAUCUUUGAACGCACCUUGCGCCCUGUGGCUAUUCCGAAGGGCAUGCCUGUUUGAGUAUCAUGACCACCUCAACUCUCAUGUUGUGUCGUGAUGAGCUUGGACUUUGGGGGUCUUGCUGGCCUAUGGUCAGCUCCUCUCAAAUGGAUCAGCUUGCCAGUGUUUGGUGGCAUCGAAGGUGUGAUAACUAUCUACGCUUGUGGUCUCCCACCAGGUAACUCUCAGCAAUGGGGGUUCGCUGGAGCUCAUAAAUGUCUCUCCUCAGUGAGGACAGCUUUUGAACGUUUGAUCUCCAAUCAGGUAGGACUACCCGCUGAACUUAAGCAUAUCAAUAAGCGGAGGCU